rnacentral:rRNA from 1 species
CCUACGGGAGGCAGCAGUGGGGAAUCUUGCGCAAUGGGCGAAAGCCUGACGCAGCAACGCCGCGUGCGGGAAGAAGGCUUUCGGGCUGUAAACCGCUUUCAGCAGGAACGAAAAUGACGGUACCUGCAGAAGAAGGAGCGGCCAACUAUGUGCCAGCAGCCGCGGUGAUACAUAGGCUUCAGGCGUUGUCCGGAUUUAUUGGGCGUAAAGAGUUCGUAGGCGGUCGAGUAAGUCGGGUGUGAAAAUUCUGGGCUCAACCCAGAGACGCCACCCGAUACUGCUUGACUUGAGUUCGAUAGGGGAGUGGGGAAUUCCUAGUGUAGCGGUGAAAUGCGCAGAUAUUAGGAAGAACACCGGUGGCGAAGGCGCCACUCUGGAUCGAUACUGACGCUGAGGAACGAAAGCAUGGGUAGCAAACAGGAUUAGAUACCCUGGUAGUCCAUGCCGUAAACGGUGGGCACUAGGUGUGGGUUUCUAUUAACGAAAUCCGCGCCGUCGCUAACGCAUUAAGUGCCCCGCCUGGGGAGUACGGUCGCAAGCUAAAACUCAAAAGGAAUUGACGGCNGAGAGNGCGAGACGACACGAGGAGAG